rnacentral:rRNA from 1 species
UACGUAGGGUGCGAGCGUUUGUCCGGAAUUAUUGGGCGUAAAGGGCUCGUAGGCGGUCUGUUGCGUCGGGAGUGAAAACUCAGGGCUUAACCCUGAGCCUGCUUCCGAUACGGGCAGACUAGAGGUAUGCAGGGGAGAACGGAAUUCCUGGUGUAGCGGUGAAAUGCGCAGAUAUCAGGAGGAACACCGGUGGCGAAGGCGGUUCUCUGGGCAUGAUCUGACGCUGAGGAGCGAAAGUGUGGGGAGCGAACAGG